rnacentral:lncRNA from 1 species
CCUCCCAAGAAGUUGUUCCACAGAUAAUUGGCAACUUUUUGGGCAUCAUAGGAAGAGGACAGAGAGUAAUUUCCAACCCCACCACCUAUAGAGAGCAUGACCUUAGUGCCUCGAUUUUGGCAGUUUCUUAUGCCGUUACUGACGGAGGUGCAGCCAUUGGAAGCAGAGUUGCAAUGGCCUGCAAGGUUGAUUGCAGGGGUCCGGCCAUUGCCGAACUUGUUGAGGAAGGCUAUGUUAACGUAGGAGUAUUUGCCGGUGUUGCAGGUUUGAGUUAGGGUCCCUUCAUUGCCGUUUUGGCCCCAGUAGAUGGCGAUGCCACCGGCAUAAGAGGUCUGGAGGAAAGCUAGGACUGAGAGGGAGAUGAGCAGAGGUAUGGAUUGAGGGGUUCUAGCCAUUCUUGAAAGAGCUGGUGUGGCCUGUGCUUGAUUAAUGUGUGUGGGGGUGAGUCCUUUUUAUAGAGUUCUAGAGUUGAAGGUCGUGACUCCCAAACUUUAACCGAGUCAUGUCUUUUCUCGUUGGCUCUAUAAAUAUUAACAAAUAAUAAGAUUGAGAGAAGCUUCAAGACGAUAUUAAAAUGUUAUGAUAAUUGAGAUGGGCUUCUAGAGACAGAUAAAUGGAAUGGAGGAAGAGUGGGAGACAACCAACAUAGGAUACAAGAUAAAUAUUAACAAAUUACGGGAUUGAGAUAAGCUAGUAAAGAAGAUAUUAAAAUGUUAUGAUAGUGAGAUGAGCUUUCAGAGAUAGAUAAAUGUCGAUGGAGGAGUGGGAGACAAUCAACGUAGGCUAGAAGUUUCCCUUGAAUGUUGGACAUUUUCAGGACCUCACCAGUCUUUUGGCACGAGUCGAACUCCAUAAAAAACUCGAAAAUCCAUUAGCCGUUUGAUAAUAUUUUUACUUCAAGUGGUUUUAAUAAAAAUAUUUUCCUUUAAAGUGUAUUUAUUAGAAUCAUCUAAAUAUUUAUUAAAAAAAACUAUAUUUUUUAAAAUUUUAAAAAUAUUUCUUAAAUUUUAUCCAACACCUAAUAAUGUUUUUUUUAGAAACAUUUUUUAAGGUAAAAAGGCUUCCUAUUUUUUGGCAAAUGUACUCAAGUUUUGUCACAUACGUGUAACUUUCUCAUCUUAUAGUCAAAGGAAUCCAGUUGAGUGCUUGAGAGACUUGGUUGAGCUGGGUGAAGCUGGUAGCUGGUUCCAUUGAAGUCGUCUCCACCGAGCCUUCAAUGCCACUGAAAAUGUGAGGAGUGGCAACUGGUGGGGCGCUUAUCUCUUGACUCUUGUCUUUCCCUAGUCUGAAGGAAACAUGAUUUGUUUAAGAAGAUAAGCAAAGCGAUUUGGUUGAUUGGGAGUCAAUGAUUCUGCUAAACUUCACAUAUAUGUGAAAGAAAGAUGACAAAGACAGGGCCUAGUUACUUGCCGGCCGGAUGCAAGGCAGUCAGCAAAGAGCACCAAAGACAGUUUACUGACGAUAAUGGCAUCAUAGUUCAAAUGGUUUCGAUUUUCAAUAAAUGAAAUGUAACAACCCUGUACAUGAGAUAGCUUUUACGUUCUAAAAAUACAUUUAUAUAGUUUCACAAUAACACCAUGAUAUCGUGUUUAGUAAGAUUGCAAGACCAUUUGGACAAACACCCACUAUAGGAUGGAUCGACUUUAAUAUAAUUUAUAAUGACCCUUACGGGAUGAAUUGACUCUGAUAUAAUUUAUAAUGAUCCAUUUUUUCAUAUGGAGUAGACAAAUUAUAUAGAAAAAAGAGCAAGUCAUUACACGAAAUGCUUAAAACCCGAGAACAGUUGUGUUAAUGGGGUUAAAUCCAAACAACAAACAUAUAGCAAAAGAGCUUUUAUGGUAGCAUAUAAAUAAAUGAAAGAAGAACCUGUUUAACUUGAUUUUCUUAGUAGAUAUGCUAGCAUAAUUUUUAUUAGAUCGAGGAAGAAGAAAACAAAAUUUCUAUAUAUAUGUAUUAUUUUGGGGCUCUUUUUUUCUUUCAUUCUAGUGGUUUGUAACGAUAUGAGUCCAUACUGUGUGCAGGGGAUCACCACCGCCACCGCCACCGCCACCGCCACCGCCACCGCCCAUAUAAUGUUUGUUGUUUGGAGAUAAAAAAAAAAAAGCCCGAACUGACUUAACCAUCGGAGGAGGAUAACUCGGGGCGACAUUGGGUAAGCCUUGAUUUGCAGAUAAAAACGUGCGGCAAGUAGAGGACUGCAGUUUGGGAAAUUCAGCUCCAACAUCCCAUACCAUCAAUUAGUUAUAUAUGAAUUUGUUUGGCUCAAAUUAUGGAAAAAAAAAAUUAUUUUAUUUCGUAGGCUAAUAAUGUAGAUGGUGAUGGACUCUUAAAAUAAUUAUUUAAUAAAAAAAUAAAAUUUAAAAAUAUUCUGAAACAUCUUCACAAUCAUCAAUGGUGGCAGAUGUUUUGUGAACCAACACAUGACUUUAAAUAUUGCUGACUCAGAUAAGGUUAAAAUAAUUUUUGGAUGCCAACAUUUUAUUUUUUAGAAAAUAGAUUUUUAUUUUUUAUUUAUUUUUUAUACUUUUUAAAUAUAUAGGGAUAGAAAUUAAUAUAUUUCAAAUAACUUUGGGGUUAAUCUAGGAAUGAUCUCGAUAAACAUUUUUUUAAUGUAUAAUAAUUUUUAUUAUAAUUUUUUUUUAUAGAAAAAUAGUUAGUGUUUCAUGGCAUAAAAAAAAAGAUUUUAAGAAUAUUUUUUAUAUUAUGUUGCAUAAAAGAAAAAUAAUUUUGGAAGAAACAUCAUUGAGUUAAUUCAAAAAUUACUCUUAGUGAUUAUUUGAAUUUUUAGAAGCAAUUUCUAAAAUAUUGCCUAACAUCUAAUUAUUGUAAGAAAAAAAAUUUUCAGACAUUAAAAAAUAUUUUUAAACUUGUGAUAUCUUGAACGGGUUAAUAACGGUUGGAGUUGGAUUUGGGUACUCAAGUAGGCUUUCCUAACCCAAUCUAACAAAUAAAGAGAUGAGGAGUUUCUCUCACUCUCUCCAAAACAAAAAAAUACCAGUAAAAAAACUCUCUUUAUAAUUUCAUCUUCUUUUUUUUUCUCCAUAAAAGAAGAUUAAAGCAUUUAUGAUGUGAAAUAGAGUGCUUUUAAAAUUUUUGUAAUUUCAUUCAUGACUUGGGGUAGAGAAUUCAUAGGUGAAACAAUAAAUUUAGAUUUGAGGACUUUAGAAGAUAAUUCGAUGCCUUUUUUUUUUUGACAAUAAAUUUUUCAUAUUUUUUCAAUAAAAAGUUUGAAAAAUAUAUAAAAUUUUAAAUAAAUUUUAUUAUAUUUAAUUUUCUCCAUAUUUUUAUAAUAAAUCAAAUAGAAGAACUUAAAUUACUUCUAACUUAUUUUUUGCAUUAGGUUUUGACCAUAUCAUAUGUGUUGGUGCAUGACCAACAAGGAGGUAUCCAACUAGUCUUUGUGUGGUGUAGACGACUUUUUGAACGGAAUGUCCAAAUGGGUUUUCGGAAUAAACCCCUUUGAAGCUUAAGUCAAAGAUAGAAGACUUGAGUAAGAGAUUUUUGGAAAAAGUUACAACAUAUCUUUCCUGUUAUGAAAAAUGAUUAUUUAUCAUUACUCAAAUGUAACAUCUUCUCAGGUGUCUUAAUUGUGUCUUUGACUAUGCGUUGAUGAGCUUUAAUACUUGACAUUUUAUUCUAAUAACAGUUGUGUCAAUCAAUACAUAAUGCAUUUAAUGCUUGUUACAGUUAAUGCUUGACAGACAAGAAUGCAUGGUACCUAACUGUUUGUAUCCGUUUGUACCUUGGGAUGAACGGAUAAUACCACAUGACUUUUGUGUUGAACAUGCCUUGCGUUAGAUGACACUUGGGGAUCAUGCUAGACGAUAAUAAGCGUUUCACAACACUUACAAUGUGAAAAACCCAUGAGUUCAUAAUAGCACAUGAUGCUCUUGUGGUUCAAACCUAUAACCAUGGUUCCAACUCAUGAGUCUAACUUAUGAUACUAAUUUUUGAAUCAAAUCAAGAUAUGCUAAGUCAAUUAUGAUAUUCAACCAUCAUUAUUUGAAUGAUCCAUUUCUAAGCUUAAGAGUGGUAUUAUUAUAACACAAUAAUGUUUUUUUUUAAAUACAUUAUAUGACACAAAUAGAAUAUUAGAUGAUCAAAAUCCAAUCUAAAAUUUUAGCAAAUUUACCACGGAGUAAAAAAGUGACUAGAAAUGGAAAAACAAUCUUAAUAACUAUGAUUAAACACUUGGAUGCAAACAAAUAAAAUAAGGAGAUGGAUGAUGAUUAUUACAAAAAGUUGGUAGAAAAUCACACCUUGUGCACUUAAUCCUCUAAUGGAUAUCAAAUAUAAUAAAAAGUGAGUUUCCUAAAAAGUUGUAUGAUUUUACACCUACUUGAGAAAAUUUGGGUGUUGUUUAGUAUUUUGGAGGUAACAUUUCUUUUUCAUCUUUUAUUUUUUAAUUCUUUAUGAUUUAUCUUGGCUAUUUGUGAUUGGUUAAUAAUUAGUGAACUAAAAGGAAAAUUUUUUCCUUCCAUAGUUUUUUUUAGCCUUUUUGAUGUGACGUAAUUAUUACUAUUUAGAAAUGGUUCCACAUAACACAUAAUAAUAAUAAUAAUAAAAAUAUUAUUAUUAUUGUUUUAUUAUUAAACUCAAUUAAAAAUAAAUUAUUAUUAUAUAAAAUUUUAAUUUUUUAUAAUGGAUGAACUUUUUAUGAUUAAGCUAUUAGAACUCUAUGAGAUCAAUAACAAACACUACUAUAUGUGCUAGUUGUUAUGAAAUAUUGUUUUCUUUAAUAGUUUUCAUUUAUAAAAUACUUAUUAAAAAGUGGACAUUGAUCCUUUUUAUCGGUGGAGGUAAGUGGACAUGGCAUCAUUCCUUUUGGAAGUGGUUUUUGACUUUUUAUAGCACGUGGCCAUAAAAAAAUAUUUUUAAAAUGAAGAGGAUAUGAUUUAAAAAUAUAGGAGAAUCAUUCCAACAGCUGGGUCAAAUCUUCUCACUUUAGAUAUUAUUGUUACGGUAUUUGAGACUGUCGGUGGUGCCGUCGGCGGGCGACGGAUGCCGGACAGGGGAUGUGGCCCGACGGAGAUCGGAGCCGAUGAUGGAAACGAGGAAGAAGACGACUGUGUGGUGGUUCUCACUUCUCAUGGGUAUCUCCAGUGGGAAGAAGGCUUGUUGAGGGCUUCCAAAUGGUAAAAAAAUUAAAAAAAUGGCGGCAGAAAUUUUGGUGCGGGUUAGUGAUAUUUCUAAGAUUUUUUUUUUAAUAAUUUAAUUUUUGUCACUUCGGAUAAAAAAAACAAUAAUAAUUUUUAUAUAAAGUUAAAAGACUUGAUUAUAAAAAACAUUUUAUUUUAUUAAUUUUUUCAAAAUUUAAAGUGAUUUUUAAAAACAUAAAUAAGUUUAUAUUUUUUAUAUAACAGUUUCCGUUUUUAAUAUAAAAAUUGUAACUAAUUUUUAUUUUGAAAAACGAAAAACAAAAAGUGUCAAAACAAUAUCUUAUGAGGAUAAUUUUCUAUUUUUUGUUUUGAGUGAAGUCUUAAAUCCUAUUUGGUAAUUAUUUUGAAAACAAUUUUAAAAAAUAAUUUUUGAGAACUAAUAUUUUAUAAGAAGUCUUUGAGAAGUUGAAAUAUUUUUAAUCUAUUUUAAUAUUUUUAAAUAUAUUUUAAAAAUAAUUUUUAUGUUUAAAGUUUUAUUUUAAGUCAUUAUGCAUAUUUGUACAAUUAUUUUUUAAAACAAUUUAAAAAAUGAAAAUAAUUAAAAAUAAUUAAAAGAUGUUAUUUGAAAACACCCCAUUUUAUCUUCUUAAGAGCAAAAAAUAGAAAAUAAUUUUUUAAUAGUCAAAUAUAUUUUUUAAUUUUUUAUUAUUUUAAAAAAUAAAAUAUUGAAAUCGAAAAUAGUUGCCAAACAUACCUUUCAAUUUUAAAAUUAUUGAAAAUAAUUUUUCUGGAUAUAAUUAUUUUUAAUUUUUAACAAAAAACCGAAAGUUUAUCCAAAUGAUUUUGUUUUUCCAAUUUUAUAAUAAACAAUCAAAUAAAAAAACAUUAAAUUUUUCCUUACCAAUUUCUUUGCCUUGAACUAUUUAGAACCAAGCAUAACCUAUUCUAAACCCAGAUUUGUCCUGCCCCGAUGCAAUAUAAGCCCAUUUGUUACUAGCUCGAUUUAGGCAUGGCCCAUUAUCAGUCCUUAACCCAGCGCAGGCCCCAAUGUAGACUAGUUCCCUGUUGGGCCAAUAUGAUUUGGCCACUCUUUUUCUUAGCCCAUGUUCUUUCAAGUCCAUUAUUAUUUUUAUGUUUACUUUAUUUUUAUUUUUUGAUUUUAAUUUAAUUUUUAUUAUAUUUUUUACCUUUAUUUUAGUCUUAUUGUAAUGUUUUGUGGUGACUAUGAUAUGAUUUUAUUUAUUUAUUUUGGAUAUAUUAUUAAUAUGGAUGACAAUGAGAUGGAUUCAGGAUGGAUCACCUCUGUCCCAAUCUUGUUCUAUUUAUUCAAAAUAAUUAUCAUCUUUGUCCCAUUAAAAAAAAAUUAAACGGGGUGAGAUAGGGUAGAUAUGCAAAUUUCUCAUACCCAUCCCAUCCUAUUUUGUUUAAUUUUUUUUGAAAGACUUUUCUUUAAAAAAAACAUUUGAAAAUUUUUAAUUAUAUUAAAGUAAAUAUGUUUUAUAAAUAAUUAAAAUAUUAUAAUUUUUUUUAUUGAAAAGUAAUUUAUUAUUAUUAUUAUAUAUGUUAAAAAUUAAAAAUUGUUGAAAUUAUUUUUCAUAAUUAAUUUUAUAUAUAAUUGGGGUGAGAAUGAAGUAGGACAAUAUAAUAUUUAAAUCUACCCCAAGUUUUUAAAAAACCUUAUAUCUGCUCUUAAUCUGUUUAUUUAAAUUUUGAACUCACUCAUUAGAGACAAGAAAUACUUGGAAAAACUGUUCCAUUUCUACCUUAAUUAUAAAGCUUGUGGACAAUUUUGAAAACAUUUGAAAACAUAUGACUCAUGUUUUCAAAUGCCAUUUGAAUGCUAACUUCACAUUGUCACAUGAAUGUAUAUUUGGAGGCAUGGAUGAUUUUGGAUGGAUCUGGGAACGACGUACCUCUAGUUAUAGUGGUAAUAUAAUUAGGGGUGACAGAAUUUGUUACGAUAUGUUAAUAUAAUUCAAACUUAACAUAUAUUUCAUGAGUUUAGAUAAAAUACACUCAAAUUUGAAUCAAUUUAUAUAACUUAUUUAAUAAAUAAUUAGUUUUUGAAUCAAUAUGCAUAACAUAAAUAUAAUUUGAAUGAACCUAAUUAAUAAUCUUACUAAUUAACUUUAAAUUAUUUAAUUUAUAUUUAACUCAUUUUAAAUAAAUAGAUUAAUUAUGAAGUUAAAACGUUAAUGAUAUAGAUUUAUACAGGACUAUAUGAGAAUGAGAGAGGUGAGGGGGGAAGUCGUCGGAAGUGGCUGCCGCCGGUGGCGGCCACCGGCUGGCAGUGGUGGUGGCCGCAAGUGAAAGUGAGGGUGGAUGGGUGUGGAAAAGAAAAAGGGGAAGAAAGAAAGAAAAGAAUAAAAAAAAACUGGUAAAAAAGAAAAGGGAGAAAGAGAAGAAGGAGGAGAGAGAGAGCGAAUGGGGACGGCUGGAGAUGGGUUUUGGGUGAUAGGCAUAGGCGGAGAGAACUGAGAAGAGGGAAAAAGAAAAGAAAAGAGAAGAGAGAAAAAGGAAAAGGGGAGAAGAGAAAAAAAGGGGGGACGUGGGAACGGGGCCAGAGUCGGAUUUGAAUGAAUGAAAUAAAAAAAAAAAGAAAAAAAAAAAAGGAAAAAACAAGAAAAAGAAAAAAAAUUAAAAAAACAAAAAAAGAUAAAAUAAAUAAUAAUAAAAUAAAAAGUGAGAAUAAUUUGAAAUAAAUUUUGGGAUUUACAAUCAUUUUAACAAAUUUAUUUAUUUAUAUAUUUAUGUAAAUGAAAUUAGAAUAUCACUAUCUAACUUGUCCAUUUACCAAGUUCAUCAUGCUUUCUAGAUUAAUACAUGUAUAUUAUAUACUAUUAUGAUAUGGUAUCCAUUAGUUAAUUAAUAAAUUAUUUGUUUUUUUGUCAACAUAUUAAUAUAGAUCGAGAUUAGUUUGGGCUUAGUAAUAGCUUGACCAUGGACUGAGUUAUGAUUUUAAUUUUAUUAUUUUAUUUUUAAAAAUUUAAAAAUAAGAUAAAUAAUAAGCCUCCAUGUUUUUCUAAAAAAUAAAAUAAAAGAACCUUUUAAGGGUAUGUUUGGUAUAUGAAAGUUCAAAGAAAAAAAGAGAAACUUUUAAAAUAUAUAUAUAUAUUUAAGAAAAAAAUAUAAUAUUUUUAUUUACUUAUACAAAAUAUAAUAAAUAAUGUUGUUUUUAGGGUGUUAAGAGAAUGUUAUUAAUUAAACCUAAAUUCUAUAAAUUUAAACUUUCCAAAAAUUCUUUUGUUCUAUAACUCUUGUACCUAAACUUUUAGGAAGAUUAAGAAAAUUUUAAAAAUAAUUUUGAAGUACAUGGGUUAAAUCUAUAGUUUUUAAUACAAGAGUAAAUAUAUAAAAUAUUAUUAUGAUUUUAUAUUUGUAAAGAAAAUAAGUGAGACUAAUUGGCAUCCAUUGAAAAUCAUUGGCCCAUUUUAGGUUUGAAACUCCGAGCCUUCUUAGUCCCGCACCCGGCACCGCUCAGGCACCACUAGAGCGAAAUUGAUAUUUAAAAGGAAAGAGAAGGUCAACUCUUUAUAAUUCUUCAUACUAUAUUCUCCAUAAUAUUCUCUUUCACUUUAUCCAUACAUUCAUCGAGGAUGAAAGCUUAUUCAAUAUAUUAUUACAACUGAUAUAGAUAGACUAACACCCAGUUCACACACUGCUCUUAAUGGAAGAGCUGUAUCCACUCUGAUCAUCAUAGUACUUUGACCACAGCAUCACGCCUCCAUACUUGGCUGAUCUCUUAAUGACCGGAAGAAUUUGAGAGGUCAACACAUUGGCCGGAAUAAACCCACUUCCGGCAGCUGCAGAGGAUGCCGGCAGGCCCAUGAAGAUCCGUGAAUUUAUCGAUGAAGUCCACCGGUUCCAUGAAUUCAGAAGGUUAUUGGUGUUGCCAGAAGAAUACUGGCAUGGGGCAUUGUUAUAGAAUUGCACCCAGACAUAGUCAAAAAGGCCUGUGUUAAGGGCAGUGCCCAGGAACUUAUCUGGGAAUGGACAUUGAGGGGCUGCAGUGAGGUAUACCUUCCUUCCACGCUUGCUGAAACCUGAUAAGGCUCGAGCAAGGUCAUCCCAGUGCAGGGUCGAACCGAGCUCGAUGUCGAAGUCUAUGCCAUCUAAUACUGCAUCACCUAAUGGCCGAGACGAUGAUUGUCCUCCCAAGAAGUUGUUCCACAGAUAAUUGGCUACGUUUUGGGCAUCAUUGGAAGAGGACAGAGAGUAACUUCCAACCCCACCACCUAUAGAGAGCAUGACCUUAAUGCCUCGAUUUUGGCAGUUUCUUAUGCCGGUACUGACGGAGGUGCAGCCAUUGGAAGCAGGGUUGCAAUGGCCAGCAAGGUUGAUUUCAGGGGUCUGGCCAUUACCGAACUUGUUGAGGAAGGCUAUGUUAACGUAGGAGUAUUUUCCGGUGUUGCAGGUUUGGGUUAGGGUCCCUUCAUUGCCGUUUUGGCCCCAGUAGAUGGCGAUGCCACCAGCAUAAGAGGUCUGGAGGAGGGCUAGGACUGAGAGGGAGAUGAGCAGAGGUGUGGAUUGGGGGGUUCUAGCCAUUCUUGCAGGAGGCUGUCUGGCCU